AGGGAGUUUCCACUUGGUCACGACUCAAAAAUGUGUCGCGGCCGCUCCUCCCUGCCCCAGGGUGUGUCUGUGGGGUCUCCUCCCUGCGAGGGAAGGAGCAGAGGCCAGGGAAAGGACUGCUCCUCUCCCCUGGGAAAGCCACACUGGAAGCCUUUCCAUGAGCCUCAUGCAGCCCCAUAAAGGAUCCUGCAGACCGCGUUCUGUCCUACAGGUUAGGAGUGAGGCGUGGAAAGCCUGCUUGGGUACCGGCAGCCGUGGUCUGAGACCUGUUCACUCAUCCUGAGUCCUAUGGUCUCUUCAGUUUUUCAGCAUAAGGUCUCAAACUUGCAGAGAUCUACCUGCUUCUGAGUGCUGGUAUUAAAGGUCCAUGCUACCACACCUGGCUUUGCAA